AAAUUGAAGAGUUUGAUCAUGGCUCAGAUUGAACGCUGGCGGCAGGCCUAACACAUGCAAGUCGAGCGGUAGCACAGAGAGCUUGCUCUCGGGUGACGAGCGGCGGACGGGUGAGUAAUGUCUGGGAAACUGCCUGAUGGAGGGGGAUAACUACUGGAAACGGUAGCUAAUACCGCAUAAUGUCGCAAGACCAAAGUGGGGGACCUUCGGGCCUCAUGCCAUCAGAUGUGCCCAGAUGGGAUUAGCUAGUAGGUGGGGUAACGGCUCACCUA
rnacentral:rRNA from 1 species